rnacentral:rRNA from 1 species
UGGUCGCAAGACUGAUCCAGCCAUGCCGCGUGCAGGAUGACUGCCCUAUGGGUUGUAAACUGCUUUUAUACGGGAAGAAAAACACCUACGUGUAGGUGACUGACGGUACCGUAAGAAUAAGGACCGGCUAACUCCGUGCCAGCAGCCGCGGUAAUACGGAGGGUCCAAGCGUUAUCCGGAAUCAUUGGGUUUAAAGGGUCCGUAGGCGGGCUAUUAAGUCAGGGGUGAGAGUUUGCAGCUCAACUGUAAAAUUGCCUUUGAUACUGGUAGUCUUGAAUUGUAGUGAAGUGGUUAGAAUAUGUGGUGUAGCGGUGAAAUGCAUAGAUAUCACAUAGAAUACCGAUUGCGAAGGCAGAUCACUAACUAUAUAUUGACGCUGAGGGACGAAAGCGUGGGGAGCGAACGGGAUUAGAUACCCCGGUAGUCCACGCCGUAAACGAUGGAUACUAGCUGUUGGAUUUUUUCAGUGGCUAAGCGAAAGUGAUAAGUAUCCCACCUGGGGAGUACGUUCGCAAGAAUGAAACUCAAAGGAAUUGACGGGGGCCCGCACAAGCGGUGGAGCAUGUGGUUUAAUUCGAUGAUACGCGAGGAACCUUACCAGGGCUUAAAUGGAAAAUGACAGGGGCAGAGACGCCCCCUUCUUCGGACAUUUUUCAAGGUGCUGCAUGGUUGUCGUCAGCUCGUGCCGUGAGGUGU